GGACUACCGGGGUUUCUAAUCCUGUUUGCUCCCCACGCUUUCGCGUCUCAGCGUCAGUCACCGUCCAGAGGGCCGCCUUCGCCACCGGUGUUCCUCCUGAUAUCUACGCAUUUCACCGCUACACCAGGAAUUCCACCCUCCUCUCCGGGACUCGAGCCCAUCAGUUUCCAAUGCACUUCCGGGGGUGAGCCCCGGGCUUUCACAUCAGACUUAAUGGGCCGCCUACACGCGCUUUACGCCCAGUGAUUCCGAACAACGCUAGCACCCUCCGUAUUACCGCGGCUGCUGGCAC
rnacentral:rRNA from 1 species